UCACACUUUGUAUAUGAUAACAGAGAAUUUACAGGUUAUUUUUUUCCCUAAUCACUGAUAUCCUUUAAAAGUCAAGAUGUGCUAUGUCUAGUAACUGUAAAUCAAUUAAAGUGUAGCAGUUCACCCAUCUUAACUGUUGUGUUUUUUUUUUUUUUUGCUUCACUUGUGAAAAUGUAAAGCAAUUGAUAUAAUUAUAUAAAAACUUAAGUGCAGGCAUUUCACAAAUGUAGGUGAACUGUUACUUCCACAUGGCAUUAGCCAGGCAAUGAGAUAGAUGGUUGUUUUCCCAUCUCCCAGUCAUCAUUUUAAAAGAAACAGCCAGUUUUAACGCCCUCUAGUGCUGUGCAUGUGAUGUCAUUUUGGCAUUUGAAAACACAAUUGAAAUAGAGCAAAAGAACACUUCUGUUUGCAUGAAUAACAUUGAAGCUGGUUCCAUCUGAGGUACAUACUCUGGGUUUCCAUUUCACCCACACUGCCACAGCAGCACAUAAAAGCGGUCAGUCUAAUCAUGCCAGGAAGCAGCACAGACACAGCAUAGCAGGAGUCCUCCCCAUUCAAAGAACUCAGUCUGAUAAUCUGCCUCCACCAGCCAAUGGCAACCAAGACCAAAGCCAGCUAGCCCUCAGGAAGGUGAUGUCUGAUGGACCAGUCAAGCCAGAAGGAGGUGAGCAGAAAGGCCCUGUUCAAAGCACACAGCAAGAAAAUCCCCCAAAUUUAAAGCUCGCAUCUUUAAUUUUUUAGAGAUUGUCUGAUAAAAUGUUUAUCCACUUUUUAAUGUGCUUUUGUGGGCAUGGCAUUUUAGGACUUCAUCAUCACCAUGUAAGUCCCAAGAUCAGUCUCGUAAUAUAUUGACUACAGUGAUUUGUAUUUUUCUAUGCACUGGGCAUCUUUUGACUUUUGUUGGGAAAUAGAUUAACAGUAUUCAUAUUGCAGAAUGGAAUGCAUGCUACUAACCUAAUCUGUUCAAGCAUGACUAUAAAUAUGUUGCAUUGUGAUAAAAGUUUAAAUUGCUCACAGUUCAAGUUAGUAUACCAGUUGGAAUGUAGAUCAGUUUUUGUUGCAUAUUAUUUGAAGUGUAACUUUUGGAAAUUCUUAGAGGAAAGUAAAGGAAAAAUUGUCAAUGCACUCAUUCACCUUUCCAUGGUGAAAUUCUCUCUUGAUCCUACAAGCAGACAUUUUCCAUUCGUGUUUCCAUAGUUGUUAAGUG
rnacentral:lncRNA from 1 species